CCUACGGGCUGCACCAGUGGGGAAUAUUGCACAAUGGGCGCAAGCCUGAUGCAGCCAUGCCGCGUGUAUGAAGAAGGCCUUAGGGUUGUAAAGUACUUUCAGUUGGGAGGAAGGCGUUGAUGCUAAUAACAUCAACGAUUGAAGUUACCAACAGAAGAAGCACCGGCUAACUCCGUGCCAGCAGCCGCGGUAAUACGGAGGGUGCAAGCGUUAAUCGGAAUUACUGGGCGUAAAGCGCACGCAGGCGGCCUGUCAAGUCGGAUGUGAAAUCCCCGGGCUCAACCUGGGAACUGCAUUCGAAACUGGCAGGCUGGAGUCUUGUAGAGGGGGGUAGAAUUCCAGGUGUAGCGGUGAAAUGCGUAGAGAUCUGGAGGAAUACCGGUGGCGAAGGCGGCCCCCUGGACAAAGACUGACGCUCAGGUGCGAAAGCGUGGGGAGCAAACAGGAUUAGAUACCCCUGUAGUC
rnacentral:rRNA from 1 species